rnacentral:tRNA from 1 species
UCCCUGGUGGCUGAGUGGUAAAGAAUCUGCCUGCAAUGUAGGAGACCUGGGUUCAAUCCCUGGGUUGGGAA